UUAUCGUGACACUUGUCGGCUUACCGAGACUCAACGUCGACAAUAAACAUUAGUCUCUCAUACCUCUCCUUCAGGGUGGAGAGGAAUAUUCUUUUCG
rnacentral:ncRNA from 1 species